UUAUUGGAAAUGAGUUUUUAUGCAACCAAUUCAGAUAUUCUGAUACUCAUGAAGAUUUUCAUUUUACUUAUAGCUUUUCAUUGCACUUUGUAUGUGUUCCUAGCUGGUGGAAGGCUUUUCGUUUCAUGUCUAAGACAAAAGAUACAAAGAAUGGUGACUUUUUCCAAUAUGGAACUAUGCAUGUGGAGACAUAAUUGAAACAACAGAGGAUUUUUACAUCAAAUAUUGCAUAGGAAUUGGUGGUUAUGGUAGUGUCUACAAAGCAAAGCUACAUAGUGGUAGAUAGUUGCAUUGAAGAAACUCCACAAAGAUAAGGCAUACAAGUAUUUUGAAGCACUGGUAAGCAUGCAUCUAUGC
rnacentral:lncRNA from 1 species